CUACGGGUGGCUCCAGUGGGGAAUCUUGCGCAAUGGGCGAAAGCCUGACGCAGCGACGCCGCGUGCGGGACGAAGGCCUUCGGGUUGUAAACCGCUUUCAGGGGGGAAGAAGCCACUCGGGUGAAUAGCCCAGAGGGUGACGGUACUCCCAGAAGAAGCCCCGGCUAACUACGUGCCAGCAGCCGCGGUAAUACGUAGGGGGCAAGCGUUGUCCGGAUUUAUUGGGCGUAAAGAGCGUGUAGGCGGCCAGAUAGGUCGGUUGUGAAAACUGGAGGCUCAACCUUCAGACGUCGACCGAAACCCUCUGGCUAGAGUCCGGGAGAGGAGAGUGGAAUUCCUGGUGUAGCGGUGGAAUGCGCAGAUAUCAGGAAGAACACCCGUGGCGAAAGCGGCUCUCUGGAACGGUACUGACGCUGAGACGCGAAAGCGUGGGGAGCGAACAGGAUUAGAUACCCCAGUAGUC
rnacentral:rRNA from 1 species